rnacentral:piRNA from 1 species
UGAGCAUUUGAUACCAUUGCAGAGCGUCCU